UACGAAGGGGGCUAGCGUUGCUCGGAAUUACUGGCGUAAGCGCGCGCAGGCGGUCUUCCAAGUCAGUGGUGAAAGCCCGGAGCUCAACUCCCGGAACUGCCAUUGAAACUGUUGGACUUGAGGACGAGAGAGGUGAGUGGAAUUCCCAGUGUAGAGGUGAAAUUCGUAGAUAUUGGGAAGAACACCGGUGGCGAAGGCGGCUCACUGGCUCGUUCUGACGCUCAGCGCGACAGCGUGGGGAUCGAAACAGG
rnacentral:rRNA from 1 species